UACGGGGGGGGCAAGCGUUGUUCGGAAUUACUGGGCGUAAAGGGCUCGUAGGUUGCCAACUAAUUCAGACGUGAAAUCCCUCGGCUUAACCGGGGAACUGCGUCUGAUACUGGAUGGCUUGAGUUUGGGAGAGGGACGCGGAAUUCCAGGUGUAGCGGUGAAAUGCGUAGAUAUCUGGAGGAACACCGGUGGCGAAGGCGGCGUCCUGGACCAACACUGACACUGAUGAGCGAAAGCCAGGGGAGCAAACGGG
rnacentral:rRNA from 1 species